AGCGUACACGGUGGAUGCCUUGGCAGUCAGAGGCGAUGAAGGACGUAUUAACUUGCGAUAAGCCCAGAUUAGGUAGUAAAAACCAUUUGAGUCUGGGAUUUCCGAAUGGGGAAACCCACUUACAUAAGUAAGUAUCGCUGCGUGAAUACAUAGCGCAGCGAGGCGAACCGGGGGAACUGAAACAUCUAAGUACCCCGAGGAAAAGAAAUCAACCGAGAUUCCGAAAGUAGCGGCGAGCGAAAUUGGACUAGCCCUUAAGCUUUUUAUGCGUCAGGUGAAACUUCUGGAAAGUUGUGCGAUACAGGGUGAUAGCCCCGUAACCGGCAACGCAUAUAAAGUGAAAUCGAGUAGGGCGGGACACGUGAUAUCCUGUCUGAAUAUGGGGGGACCAUCCUCCAAGGCUAAAUACUACUGACUGACCGAUAGUGAACCAGUACCGUGAGGGAAAGGCGAAAAGAACCCCUGUGAGGGGAGUGAAAUAGAACCUGAAACCGUGUACGUACAAGCAGUAGGAGCACCUUCGUGGUGUGACUGCGUACCUUUUGUAUAAUGGGUCAGCGACUUAUAUUCAGUGGCAAGGUUAACCAUCUAGGGGAGCCGUAGCGAAAGCGAGUGUUAACUGCGCGACUCAGUCGCUGGAUAUAGACCCGAAACCAGGUGAUCUAGCCAUGGGCAGGUUGAAGAUUGAGUAACAUCAAUUGGAGGACCGAACCGACUAAUGUUGAAAAAUUAGCGGAUGACUUGUGGCUAGGGGUGAAAGGCCAAUCAAACCUGGAGAUAGCUGGUUCUCCCCGAAAGCUAUUUAGGUAGCGCCUCGGACGAAUACUACUGGGGGUAGAGCACUGUUAAGGCUAGGGGGUCAUCCCGACUUACCAACCCUUUGCAAACUCCGAAUACCAGUAAGUACUAUCCGGGAGACACACGGCGGGUGCUAACGUCCGUCGUGGAGAGGGAAACAACCCAGACCGCCAGCUAAGGUCCCAAAUUACUACUAAGUGGGAAACGAUGUGGGAAGGCUCAGACAGCCAGGAUGUUGGCUUAGAAGCAGCCAUCAUUUAAAGAAAGCGUAAUAGCUCACUGGUCGAGUCGGCCUGCGCGGAAGAUGUAACGGGGCUAAGUAGUAAACCGAAGCUGCGGCAAUGCACUUUGUGCAUUGGGUAGGGGAGCGUUCUGUAAGCGGUUGAAGGUGUGUGGUAACGCAUGCUGGACGUAUCAGAAGUGCGAAUGCUGACAUGAGUAACGAUAAAGGGGGUGAAAAACCUCCUCGCCGGAAGACCAAGGGUUCCUGUCCAACGUUAAUCGGGGCAGGGUAAGUCGACCCCUAAGGCGAGGCCGAAAGGCGUAGUCGAUGGGAAACGGGUUAAUAUUCCCGUACUUCUUACAAUUGCGAUGGGGGGACGGAGAAGGCUAGGUGGGCCUGGCGACGGUUGUCCAGGUUCAAGUGCGUAGGCUGAGAGAUUAGGUAAAUCCGGUUUCUCUUAAGGCUGAGACACGACGUCGAGCUACUACGGUAGUGAAGUCAUUGAUGCCAUGCUUCCAGGAAAAGCCUCUAAGCUUCAGAUUGUAAGGAAUCGUACCCCAAACCGACACAGGUGGUCGGGUAGAGAAUACCAAGGCGCUUGAGAGAACUCGGGUGAAGGAACUAGGCAAAAUGGUACCGUAACUUCGGGAGAAGGUACGCUCUUGAUGGUGAAGUCCCUUGCGGAUGGAGCUGACGAGAGUCGCAGAUACCAGGUGGCUGCAACUGUUUAUUAAAAACACAGCACUGUGCAAAAUCGUAAGAUGACGUAUACGGUGUGACGCCUGCCCGGUGCCGGAAGGUUAAUUGAUGGGGUUAGACUUCGGUCGAAGCUCUUGAUCGAAGCCCCGGUAAACGGCGGCCGUAACUAUAACGGUCCUAAGGUAGCGAAAUUCCUUGUCGGGUAAGUUCCGACCUGCACGAAUGGCGUAAUGAUGGCCACGCUGUCUCCACCCGAGACUCAGUGAAAUUGAAAUCGCUGUGAAGAUGCAGUGUACCCGCGGCUAGACGGAAAGACCCCGUGAACCUUUACUACAGCUUGGCACUGAACAUUGACCCUACAUGUGUAGGAUAGG
rnacentral:rRNA from 1 species